GACGAACGCUGGCGGCGUGCUUAACACAUGCAAGUCGAACGGAAAGGCCCUGCUUUUGUGGGGUGCUCGAGUGGCGAACGGGUGAGUAACACGUGAGUAACCUGCCCUUGACUUUGGGAUAACUUCAGGAAACUGGGGCUAAUACCGGAUCGGAGCUCCUGCUGCAUGGUGGGGGUUGGAAAGUUUCGGCGGUUGAGGCUGGACUCGCGGCUUAUCAGCUUGUUGGUGGGGUAGUGGCUUACCAAGGCUUUGACGGGUAGCCGGCCUGAGAGGGUGACCGGCCACAUUGGGACUGAGAUACGGCCCAGACUCCUACGGGAGGCAGCAGUGGGGAAUAUUGCACAAUGGGCGGAAGCCUGAUGCAGCAACGCCGCGUGCGGGAUGACGGCCUUCGGGUAGUAAACCGCUUUCGCCUGUGACGAAGCGUGAGUGACGGUAAUGGAUAAAGAAGCACCGGCUAACUACGUG
rnacentral:rRNA from 1 species